rnacentral:rRNA from 1 species
GAUGAACGCUGGCGGCGUGCCUAAUACAUGCAAGUCGAGCGAACAGACGAGGAGCUUGCUCCUCUGACGUUAGCGGCGGACGGGUGAGUAACACGUGGAUAACCUACCUAUAAGACUGGGAUAACUUCGGGAAACCGGAGCUAAUACCGGAUAAUAUAUUGAACCGCAUGGUUCAAUAGUGAAAGACGGUUUUGCUGUCACUUAUAGAUGGAUCCGCGCCGCAUUAGCUAGUUGGUAAGGUAACGGCUUACCAAGGCAACGAUGCGUAGCCGACCUGAGAGGGGGAUCGGCCACACUGGAACUGAGACACGGUCCAGACUCCUACGGGAGGCAGCAGUAGGGAAUCUUCCGCAAUGGGCGAAAGCUUGACGGAGCAACGCCGCGGGAGUGAUGAAGGUCUUCGGAUCGUAAAACUCUGUUAUUAGGGAAGAACAAAUGUGUAAGUAACUAUGCACGUCUUGACGGUACCUAAUCAGAAAGCCACGGCUAACUACGUG